ACGGGAGGCAGCAGUGGGGAAUAUUGCACAAUGGGCGAAAGCCUGAUGCAGCGACGCCGCGUGAGUGAAGAAGUAUUUCGGUAUGUAAAGCUCUAUCAGCAGGGAAGAAAAAUGACGGUACCUGACUAAGAAGCACCGGCUAAAUACGUGCCAGCAGCCGCGGUAAUACGUAUGGUGCAAGCGUUAUCCGGAUUUACUGGGUGUAAAGGGAGCGCAGGCGGUACGGCAAGUCUGAUGUGAAAGCCCGGGGCUCAACCCCGGUACUGCAUUGGAAACUGUCGAACUAGAGUGUCGGAGGGGUAAGCGGAAUUCCUAGUGUAGCGGUGAAAUACGUAGAUAUUAGGAGGAACACCAGUGGCGAAGGCGGCUUACUGGACGAUAACUGACGCUGAGGCUCGAAAGCGUGGGGAGCAAACAGGAUUAGAUACCCUGGUA
rnacentral:rRNA from 1 species